rnacentral:rRNA from 1 species
AGUGAGAAUGCCGGAAUGAGUAGCGAGAAUUAUGUGAGAAUCAUAAUGGCCGAAAAUCUAAGGUUUCCUGAGGAAGGUUCGUCCGCUCAGGGUAAGCCGGGGGCUAAGGCGAGGCGGAGACGCGUAGCCGAUGCACAUACGGUUGAAAUUCCGUAGCCACCGAAAGAUUUAAGUACAGGGACGCUUUAGAAGUGAUGUAGCCGGGCGAUGGUUGACCCGGUCGUAAGGGAUCGAAAAUGAGUAGAGAAGUCAUCAUGGAAAGAGACAAGAAAAGCUGUAUGAAUAUCUUAGGUGCCCGUACCGCAAACCGACACAGGUAGAUAGGAAGAAGAUUCUAAGGCCAACGGGAGAAGGGUUGUUAAGGAACUCGGCAAGUUGACCCCGUAACUUAGGGAUAAGGGGUGCUCAAGUGAUUGAGCCGCAGAGAAUAGGCCCAGGCGACUGUUUAGCAAAAACACAGGUCUCUGCUAAAUCGAAAGAUGACGUAUAGGGGCUGACACCUGCCCGGUGCCGGAAGGUUAAGAGGAGAUGUGAGAGCAUUGAAUUGAAGCCCCGGUAAACGGCGGCCGUAACUAUAACGGUCCUAAGGUAGCGAAAUUCCUUGUCAGGUAAGUUCUGACCCGCACGAAAGGUGUAACGAUCUGGGCACUGUCUCAACAACCCGCCCGGCGAAAUUGUAGUACCGGUGAAGAUGCCGGUUACCCGCGACUAGACGGAAAGACCCCAUGGAGCUUUACUGUAGCCUAAUAUUGGAUUUCGGUAUUUCACGUACAGGAUAGGUGGGAGACUGGGAAGCACAGGCGUCAGCUUGUGUGGAGUCGACCUUGGGAUACCACUCUUGGAGUGCUGGAAUUCUAACCUGCGGCUUUGAAGCAAGUCGGGGGACAUUGUUAGGUGGGCAGUUUGACUGGGGCGGUCGCCUCCUAAAGAGUAACGGAGGCGCUCAAAGGUUCGCUCUGCAUGGAUGGAAACCAUGCGUCAGAGUGUAAACGCAAAAGCGAGCCUAACUGCGAGAAUGACGGUUCGAGCAGUAACGAAAGUUGGAGUUAGUGAUCCGGCGGUAUGUGAAUGGAAAUGCCGUCGCUCAACGGAUAAAAGCUACCCUGGGGAUAACAGGCUGAUCUCCCCCAAGAGUCCACAUCGACGGGGAGGUUUGGCACCUCGAUGUCGGCUCAUCGCAUCCUGGGGCUGUAUUCGGUCCCAAGGGUUUGGCUGUUCGCCAAUUAAAGCGGUACGCGAGCUGGGUUCAGAACGUCGUGAGACAGUUCGGUCCCUAUCUGUCGUGGGCGUAGGAUAUUUGCAAGGAGCUGUCCCUAGUACGAGAGGACCGGGAUGGACGCACCUCUGGUGCACCAGUUGUCACGCCAGUGGCACAGCUGGGCAGCUAUGUGCGGAACGGAUAAACGCUGAAGGCAUCUAAGCGUGAAGCUGCCCUUAAGAUAAGAUAUCCCUUCUGUUUACAGAGUAAGACCCCUUGAAGACUACAAGGUUGAUAGGCUCAAAGUGUAAGCACGGUGACGUGUUUAGCUAGCGAGUACUAAUCGGUCGAGGGCUUAACCU